rnacentral:rRNA from 1 species
GAUGAACGCUGGCGGCGUGCCUAAUACAUGCAAGUCGAGCGAACGGACGAGAAGCUUGCUUUUCUGAUGUUAGCGGCGGACGGGUGAGUAACACGUGGAUAACCUACCUAUAAGACUGGGAUAACUUCGGGAAACCGGAGCUAAUACCGGAUAAUAUUUUGAACCGCAUGGUUCAAAAGUGAAAGACGGUCUUGCUGUCACUUAUAGAUGGAUCCGCGCUGCAUUAGCUAGUUGGUAAGGUAACGGCUUACCAAGGCAACGAUGCAUAGCCGACCUGAGAGGGUGAUCGGCCACACUGGAACUGAGACACGGUCCAGACUCCUAAGGGAGGCAGCAGUAGGGAAUCUUCCGCAAUGGGCGGAAGCCUGACGGAGCCACGCCGCGUGAGUGAUGAAGGUCUUCGGAUCGUAAAACUCUGUUAUUAGGGAAGAACAUAUGUGUAAGUAACUGUGCACAUCUUGACGGUACCUAAUCAGAAAGCCACGGCUAACUACGUG